rnacentral:rRNA from 1 species
UGAUGCAGCGACGCCGCGUGGGUGAGGAAGGCCUUCGGGUCGCAAAGCCCUUUUCUGCGUGACGAGGAAGGACGGUAGCGCAGGAAGAAGCGUCGGCUAACUACGUGCCAGCAGCCGCGGUAAAACGUAGGACGCGAGCGUUAUCCGGAGUUACUGGGCGUAAAGGGCGUGCAGGCGGGGGCGCAAGUCACGCGUGAAAGUCUUCGGCUCAACCGGGGGGAAGACGGGUGAUACUGCGUUUCUAGAGGGCGCUAGAGGGACACGGAAUUCCGGGUGUAGUGGUGAAAUGCGUAGAGAUCCGGAGGAACACCAGUGGCGCAGGCGGUGUUCUGGGGCGCACCUGACGCUGAGACGCGAAAGCAUGGGGAGCGAACGGGAUUAGAAACCCCGGUAGUCCAUGCCGUAAACGAUGCCGACUAGCGGUCUGGGGAAACCUGGGUCGCGCAGCUAACGCGAUAAGUCGGCCGCCUGGGGAGUACGGUCGCAAGGCUA